rnacentral:rRNA from 1 species
CAUGUGUAGCGGUGAAAUGCGUAGAUAUAUGGAGGAACACCAGUGGCGAAAGCGGCUCUCUGNUCUGUCACUGACGCUGAGGCUCGAAAGCGUGGGUAGCGAACAGGAUUAGAUACCCUGGUAGUNCACGCCGUAAACGAUGAGUGCUAGGUGUUAGGCCCUUUCCGGGGCUUAGUGCCGGAGCUAACGCAAUAAGCACUCCGCCUGGGGAGUACGACCGCAAGGUUGAAACUCAAAGGAAUUGACGGGGGCCCGCACAAGCGGUGGAGCAUGUGGUUUAAUUCGAAGCAACGCGAAGAACCUUACCAGGUCUUGACAUCCCGAUGCUAUUCUUAGAGAUAGGAAGUUACUUCGGUACAUCGGAGACAGGUGGUGCAGGGUUGUCGUCAGCUCGUGUCGUGAGAUGUUGGGUUAANNNNNNNNNNCGAGCGCAACCCUUAUUGUUAGUUGCCAUCAUUAAGUUGGGCACUCUAGCGAGACUGCCGGUAAUAAACCGGAGGAAGGUGGGGAUGACGUCAAAUCAUCAUGCCCCUUAUGACCUGGGCUACACACGUGCUACAAUGGUCGGUACAACGAGUUGCGAGCCGGUGACGGCAAGCUAAUCUCUGAAAGCCGAUCUCAGUUCGGAUUGGAGGCUGCAACUCGCCUCCAUGAAGUCGGAAUCGCUAGUAAUCGCGGAUCGGCACGCCGCGGUGAAUACGUUCCCGGGCCUNG